rnacentral:lncRNA from 1 species
GUUGCGCUCUGCACGCGUCAUCUGCACGUCUUUUCACUUUCGACCUCUAUGCCUUAUCAUAAAAUUUUCUCAUUAUCUUUCCUUAAAAAAAACAAAAGAAAUAACAGCAGAAUGAUCAAUAGCCUCAUUUAAGCUUUUCCGCCUUCUUUUCUUUUAUAUCGGCUAUAGGGGGCCUACGUCAUUUCUAUGAUGCAGCAUAUAAUUUAUUUAUCAUAUUAUAUUUCAAAAUAAUGUAAAUGUAGUAUUGUUUAGUAUUGAAACACACGUUGUUCUGAAACAGACCUGCAAAGAAAACGAUAAUUGCACCAACCGAAAUGCAACAGACGAAAAAUAGCAGAUCGUGCUGCAGUGUCCAUCUUCGUAAUAGUUGCUGUUGGCGACGCCAUUAGGAAUAGCCGCGUGCGGAUUACACAAUUGGCCUAUUUGAUGCGUUCCAAAUAAAACUCAUGCAUUUUGUUUUGUGACGCUGAAUACCUUAGACAUACUGCGCAUGACAACAUAUAUUAAAGUUUAUUCGCCAUGAUGACCAAUAUCAUUAAAUCCUGAAUGUCAGAAAGUGAUUCGUCUUACUUCGUCUUCCACACGGUUAUAGAGCUUAUCUGUUUGGCUGAAGCAAACACAAACUUAACGUUCUGUCGGAUUGCUACGCGUUGGUUCUUCAAUUUGUGUGCAUAUUGCGCAGUAUUUAUUGACAAGUUGUUUACCUCAUCUUCGUUGCAAUUGCAUGAAAUAGGAUUGUGUUGUCCAAACCUCACCUGGAUUACACAUGCAUCACAGGUGAAGUCAUCGCCUUGAACUCUUGACAAACAAAUGUUUGUUAUCAGUGUCAUCGUCUAGUCCACUCAGCCUACAAGUCCUGAACGGCUUUACGAACGUUUCCCAUGCCAUCUAGUGUUUGUCAGUGACGCCAUGUUGACGCUAAACAUUCUGGGAUCGGGCAAAAAUGGCGUUGUAUCGACUAAAGUUACCUCAUCACCGAAAAGAACAAACCAUGCUUCAAUGUUUAGUUUUUCAGCACUCGAAUCACCCCCAUUUAACCCCCAACGUAUGGUGGGAUAUAUCAAAAAGUAAAAGUAACUGAGGCCAGGUGGAAAUUCUGCAUCAGUUGCUGUGUGUUCGCACAGACUGUUGCUGACUCGCCCUUCUCCGUGGUAGUGACGUGAAAAAUAAUACCGUGUCAUCUGUGCUCCUCACCAUUACCUGCCUCGCCCUGCCUCGCCAUCACGUCCAGCAAUCUAAACAAGAAGACCAAUUACUCCACUCUCGCUAUAUAGUCCAAGACAAAUUUUACUUUGUCCAAUUCUGUAUGGCGAAUCGCAAGCCCAAUUGUUUAGCUGUUCUCGGCUAGGCUGUCUUUCGGUCGAUUGCAAGAGCAUUCCAUGAGGCAUUCUGUGAGGCCCAAAACCAAAUAGAUGGGACAACGUAUACUAUGCGAGUUUGAUAUUGGAUCUCUCUCGAUUAUGCCGUUUGCGAUGCCGAUCUUGUCAGUAUUGAAACUAUACAGAUAAUUGCCUUUGAACAACAUUUAACAUAUAAAAGACGAGGCCUAGUGCAAAGAUGUUGCUCUUGACAGAGUAUACCUCGGCAUUUUUAAUUGUCAUUACCAUCGACAUUUUUCCCCUCUUUUAUCGUGGCCUCAGUUCUUCGGCAGCAUCCCAGCGUUUCCGCUCCUACGACUCCAUUGUUUGUCGAAAAAUGUUUUACCCCUUCCCCCGUCGUCUUGGCUUGCGCCUCGCACCGAAAUCAGGAUGUUUUCCGGUUUGAAUAUGUCGUUGAAUGACAUUCUUCGAAUGGCUUUGUUCGUGACCUAAAGCUAAUUUGAGGGGGAAAUGUUGAGAUCAUGUGCUAUGGGCGGUCCGUUGUAUCUUUUUGCGCCAUCCGGUUUCAGGACCAGCUUUUCCAACGAGGCGACACACAAUUCCAAUCCAACGUAGUUACUGUAAAAAUGGAGGACGGAGGGAUGAAAUGAGAGCGUUUUGCUUGUGAAAACCAGACAAAAUAACUCGACACGAAUUGUUCUCCCCUUUCACAGUAUAGAGAAUUUUGACAAUGUUUCGAUGAUCCUUCAACCUCUCCAUAACUUUUCUCUUCGUAUUCUUUGACUUUCUCUCGUGAAACUCUUUUGACUGCACAUUGGCGACCGUUCAACUCUCCUCGAUAAACCCCGGCAGAUUUCCCUAUCAGAUUCCCCAACAGUGCAGUGCGGUCGAACUGAAUUUCCUCCAAAGUAUUUAAACAGCACACAAACGAAAAAGGAAGUUUCGGAAUGUGUUUAAAUAGCUUAAGCCAUCAGUGUCCAGUUUUCGAAGAGUGCUGUUGCCUUCUUCCAGUCCUUAGCAAACGGCCAACGCCUUUAUGUUGUAGUCUUGGUAGUCUGUGUGCGUCUGUGUAUUCUCCAGUGCCGUCUGGGUGGACUCGACAUGAGAGAGGACGAUGCGAGGCCACCUAGUGGUAGACUUUACAACAUCUCCCCCUUUAACCAUAUACGAACAACAGCCCCCAUACCGAACACAAAUGAAUGCAAUCAAAAUGUAAGACAAGUGUGAAAAUAAACCAAAAUGAAUGAA